rnacentral:tRNA from 1 species
CGCUCGUAGCUCAGCUGGAUAGAGUACCUGGCUACGAACCAGGCGGUCAGAGGUUCGAAUCCUCUCCGAGUCG